AUCUUAUCGAGAGAAGCUGAGGGUCCUGGCCCUAUGAAGCUUCAGCAACCUUCAACUUUGUUGAAAAGGUGCUAAUUCCAGCAAGUUUUCAAAAACUUGGCAGAUAAGAA
rnacentral:ncRNA from 2 species